UACGGGGGGGGGCAAGCGUUGUUCGGAAUUACUGGGCGUAAAGGGCGCGUAGGCGGUUCGCUAAGUUGAAUGUGAAAACUCUGGGCUUAACCCAGAGCCUGCAUCCAAAACUGGCGAACUGGAGUACUGGAGGGGAAAGCGGAAUUCCUGGUGUAGCGGUGAAAUGCGUAGAUAUCAGGAGGAACACCGGUGGCGAAGGCGGCUUUCUGGACAGUAACUGACGCUGAGGCGCGAAAGACGUGGGGGAGCGAACGGG
rnacentral:rRNA from 1 species